rnacentral:rRNA from 1 species
UACGGAGGGGGCUAGCGUUGUUCGGAAUUACUGGGCGUAAAGCGCGCGUAGGCGGACCUGCAAGUCUGGGGUGAAAGCCCGAGGCUCAACCUCGGAACUGCCUUCGAUACUGCGGGUCUCGAGUCCGGGAGAGGUGAGUGGAACUGCGAGUGUAGAGGUGAAAUUCGUAGAUAUUCGCAAGAACACCAGUGGCGAAGGCGGCUCACUGGCCCGGUACUGACGCUGAGGCACGAAAGCGUGGGGAGCAAACAGG